GAAGGAGGCUGGCGGGGCCUUUAUUCCCCAAUCAGGGCCCUCCCUGCGCCAGGCUUCUUAUUAACUGGGCAGAUGGGGGAGGGGCAGAGCCAGGACCCUGUGGCGGCCAGCAAAGGAGAAGGUGGAGGGGAGGACCGAGACCUCUGCCCAGGACUGCCGUCCUUAUGAGAAGAUGAGACCAGAGAAGCACAGGGAGGAUGACAUGUGAGGAUACCGGGCAGAGACAGCUGUCUGCAGGCCAAGGAGGCAGGCCGCGGAGGAACCAGCUCUGUGGCACCCCCAUCUCAGGCUUCAGCCUCCAGAAUUCCAAAGAGACCAGGGCUCGGAGUCCAGAAGCCGGCAGGAAGAGCCCAGCCCACACCGGCUCCCGUCCAGGGGCUCCGGCUGCCGGGAAUCCUCUCGCAGCAUCUUCACCAGGAGUAGAUUCCACCUCACGAAACCACUUUCUUAGCUCACCCAUAGGAAGCAACUCCUCCUGUGUGAAGGCUUUAUCUGCAACUGCAGCAGCUCAGUAACACCUCAGGCUCCUCUUCUAAUUACAGUUCUCUUGCUGUUCCCACCACAUCUGCAGC